rnacentral:rRNA from 1 species
AUUGAACGCUGGCGGCGUGCUUAACACAUGCAAGUCGAUCGGUAACAGGUGUAGCAAUACAUGCUGACGAGAGGCGGACGGGUGAGUAAUGCUUGGGAAUCUGCCUAUUAGUGGGGGACAACCCGGGGAAACUCGGGCUAAUACCGCAUACGCUCUACGGAGGAAAGCCGGGGACCGCAAGGCCUGGCGCUAAUAGAUGAGCCCAAGUCGGAUUAGCUAGUUGGAGGGUAACGGCCUACCAAGGCGACAAUCCGUAGCUGGUCUGAGAGGACGACCAGCCACACCGGAACUGAGACACGGUCCGGACUCCUACGGGAGGCAGCAGUGGGGAAUAUUGGACAAUGGGGGCAACCCUGAUCCAGCGACGCCGCGUGGGUGAAGAAGGCCUGCGGGUUGUAAAGCCCUUUCGGGUGGGGAAGAAAAGUCUCGACCUAAUACGUCGGGACCUUGACGUAACCCACU